GAUGAACGCUAGCGGCAGGCUUAACACAUGCAAGUCGAGGGGCAGCACGAUGUAGCAAUACAUGGGUGGCGACCGGCGCACGGGUGCGUAACACGUAUGGAAUCUGCCCUUUACUGGGGGAUAGCCCGGAGAAAUCCGGAUUAAUACCCCAUAACAGGCGAGGUGGCAUCACCUUGCUUUGAAAGCUCCGGCGGUAAAGGAUGACCAUGCGCACGAUUAGCUAGUUGGUGAGGUAACGGCUCACCAAGGCUACGAUCGUUAGGGGGCCUGAGAGGGUUAUCCCCCACACUGGUACUGAGACACGGACCAGACUCCUGCGGGAGGCAGCAGUGAGGAAUAUUGCGCAAUGGAGGCAACUCUGACGCAGCCAUGCCGCGUGCAGGAAGAAGGCGCUACGCGUUGUAAACUGCUUUUAUCCGGGAAGAAACCCCUCGACGUGUCGAGGGUUGACGGUACCGGAGGAAUAAGCACCGGCUAACUUCGUGCCAGCAGCCGCAGUAAAAC
rnacentral:rRNA from 1 species